AAUUGCUGUGCCAAGUCUGUAGAUCUCGUUACUCUCAAGUGUUUUUCUUUUCAUCUGUUUUUGUUUUAUUCCGAUGUGAUCAUGGAGGAAUACCGUUGUCGAUCUUGGAUGGGAUUUUAAUUGCAGUCAAGGAUGACAUUGAUUGCUAUUCUCAUCCUUCAAAGGGUAUGUGUUUAACUUCCCAUUUCCUCUGCGAAUAUCUCGGCCAUUUUUAGCUGAAAAUAUUUCCCUGUAAAAAAGAGCAGGUGGUUCUACAUGGUUUAUGAGGUUCGCCAGGUAAAGGCAGAUGCAGUGGCGUUGGAGAUAGCAUUCUAUGUCAUGAGUUACCAAGAAGUGUAUUAGAAGGGAGUGUAUUAUUAUCCUAAAUCAGGAUUUAUGCCAUGUAACAAAAUCUCAAGUAGCACCUCUAUUACUUGCAUGGAAUGCAUAUGUGCAUUUUACUUUCAAGGAAAAUAGUGGAGGAUAAGAAAUUCAACUAAACCUACAAUUUUUUAAAUUGACUAGAAAAACAGCAGAACAUAUAUUUUCUAUGCUUUGUCUUCUGCGACAAAAACUAACAAAGAUCAUUCCC
rnacentral:lncRNA from 1 species